GUCGGAAUUGGGCGGGGCUGUGAGCGAGGCGGAGCCGGGGGACACCACGAGGUGCGCGCCGGGUAGGAGAUCCAGGAGAUGCUCCGCUGGGCCCGCGCCUGGAGGCUCCCCCGUAGGGGCCUGGGCCCCUCCAGUCCCAGCUUCUCCAGAGUGCCUGUCGCACCCAGCAGCAGCCAAGGCGGCACCGAGCCAAGGCCGGUGCCGCUUUCCUACAGACUUCUGGACGGGGAGGCAACCCGCCCGCCCCUCGUCUUUCUGCAUGGGCUCUUCGGCUGCAAAACCAACUUCAACUCCAUCGCCAAGGCCCUGGCCCAGCAGACAGGCCGGAGGGUGCUGACAGUGGAUGCUCGGAACCAUGGUGACAGCCCUCACAGCCCAGACAUGAGCUACGAGGCCAUGAGCCAGGAUCUGCAGGACCUCCUGCCCCAGCUGGGCCUAGUGCCCUGCGUCCUCAUUGGCCACAGCAUGGGAGGCAGGACAGCCAUGCUGCUGGCACUUCAGAGGCCAGAGCUGGUGGAGCGCUUGAUUGCCGUGGACAUCAGCCCAGUGGAGAGCCCGUCCAGCUUGAACUUUCCAAACUACAUAGCAGCCAUAAGGGCCAUAGACAUCCCGGAUGAGGCGUCCCUCUCUAGUGCCCGAAAACGGGUGGAUGAGAAGCUUAGCUGUGUUAUCCAGAGCAUAAGCAUGCGGCAGUUCCUGCUCACCAACCUGGUGGAGGUGGACGGGCGCUUCACGUGGAGGGUGAACUUGGAUGCCUUGGCCCAGCACUUGGACAAGAUCUUGAACUUCCCACCACGACCAGAAACCUACUCUGGGCCAGCCCUCUUCCUCCUGGGUGGAAACUCUCAAUUCGUGCUUCCCAGCCACCACCCUGAGAUUAGGCGGCUCUUCCCUCGGGCCCAGAUGCAGACCGUGCCUAAUGCUAGCCACUGGGUCCACAGCGACUGCCCGCAGGACUUCAUGGCUGCCGUCCGAGACUUCCUGGCCUAAGGGUUGCUGGCCAGAGGGGACACGAAACCCCAGGCUUCAAGGCCCUGCGGGCUGCUCCUUGUUUCUGCACAGAAGGACUCAGGAAUGCCUGACGUCCCCCCUUCCCCUCCUGGCAGGACAGAGCCUGAGGGUGAGCCAGCCACCACCCUCCCGUCCCCCACAAGCAGCUUCCUCUCACUUGGCAAUGGCUUCAUCCCGCUCCCGGAGGACCUGGUCCAACGAGGGCUCUGUCUGGGUAUCCCCCAGUGCUCCAGCCACUUGGGAUUCUGGGCUCUGUGGUAGGGUGACAGAGGAGGGAGUAGUGGUUUGGGCCUUGCCUGGAUGAGGUGUCCCACUUGGCCCUUCCGCCCUGGCCUUGGCCCUGAUGCUGAUGUCAGGAGGGGAAGGGUCUGAGACGUUCCGUACCUGCCCCCCAGUGCCCUGGUCUCGUGGGCAGGGGACUGCAUCAUGCUGAGGGGAUAGUAGGUGUGGCCCCUUCCCACCCAAAGGAAAGCAGAGGGGGCAGGGUGUUUGGACCCCCCCGCCCCCAAGGAGGAAAGGAAUUCUCACCUGAUCCCCAGGAAAGAGACAAGGUGGGUUCAGAGGGACACUUACCCCUCGAGGGCCCCAGACUGAGAGGGUGGCCUGGUGACUGGGACUCUUGUCGGCGGGGUGGGGCAGGCGGAGGACGUGGCCCUUUGCCCUCCCUUCCUGCCAAGGCACUCCCUGUCAGGCCCUGCCCCGGGUAGGCUGACCACGCCCCUGCCUCCACUCCUGGAUCCUGGAACCCUCCAGCCAGGCCCAGAGUUUCCUCACCCGUUCCUUGCCCAGUCGUGCGUGCCCCUCACCUCAAGGGGGCGCUCUACUCACAUCAGGAGAUAAGAAAGGAGUGACAGCCGGAUGGCGCCAACGCUAAGAGACAGGUGCCCCAGUCCCCCAUGGUGAAGAGUUGGCAUCUUGGAAGCUUGAGUGGCAUCACCACACAUACAACCAUAACCUUAGCUCAGCAGAAAACAGAAGGGCAAAAGCUUAACCGUUCCUGGCAAAUGCCUCCUAACAUCUUGAACGGUCUGUCCUCCCUAGCAGUAUCCUCCAGUAUUCCCACAAUAGUGCUCAUUAUUCCUCCAGUAUUCCCAACAUUCUGAUCCUGGAGUGUGGGUGGAGGUGCUGUGCUCUGAGGGGGGGGCAGGGGUAGUCUCAGAAUCUCAGUAUCCCACACCCCCCUCGAUGUGACCGUUGAGAGCACAAGUGACCUCAAACGUGUAAAAGGGCCUCCCCAUUGAGAGGCCUUUGCAGCAAGGUUCCAUCUUGGGGAUUAGACCCUCAACCCCACUCUAAAUAGGACAUACUUCCUCCAAGACCCCCCAGGAAGCUCCCUGCAGACAUGACUCCUGACUGUCCAGGUCCCACUCAGCCAGGUGCACCUCUAACAGCCGGACUCCAGUUUCUUUGGUUGAACCCAGGUGAAGAGGUGGAACUGAGCUGAACCCCCAAAAACCCCUUUUGUGGAGGAGAUUCAUUCAGUGUGUUUCUGGAGGCUGCUCUAUGUCAUGAUCCAGACAGGACCUCUGCUCUCGGAUCUCUGGGGCUAGCAGGGAUGAAGCACAGAUAGAAUCAGAAAAGGGUGUCAGGGAGUCCAGGGACAGUGGGAGCACAAAGGCCCCUCACAUCCAGUCACAGGGGUUCCACAGGAGCUUGUCCAGUAAUGAAUCCUGCAGGUCAGCAGGAGUCAGCCGGAAAGGUCUAACACUCAUGCCAGGCAUUUCUUUUAUUUAACUUUUUACUUUGAAACAAUUUCAAACUGCUCUUCAAUGUCAAA